UUGAGUUAGGCGCGCAGGACGUCGACUGUACCUGAGACAAGAAAAGUGAACCAUUAUAUAAAGAAUGUGACACCGCGACGAAAAAUAGUCGAUGUGACCAAAGGAACUCCGUGGUUGAUGCCCCCUUAUGACUGUUUGGGGGAAGCUUUAGGGUUAAGCUCCAGUCAUAAAACUAAGCAUCAAGUUGGAAUUGAUUAGGUCUUCAACCUAAUUUACUAACAGUGCUUCCAUGAACAACCUGAGAUGGGCGUUCUUGAUUCUUUUUUGCUCAUUAGGUUAUUGCAGUGGUCAGAGAACUACCUUACUCUGGGUUAGAUGAAAUAGAUUUAGUAAAGGGAAAGAUGGAACAGUAGGUUAAGGGAAGAGUAUUGUGGGAGGAGGUGUAAGGGGGAUAGAGGUGUCAUAAGGAACUUGUGUUGAUAGGGUGGUUCAAGGUAUUGGAUCAUAUGAAGUUUAGCACCCAUAGUUAUUCCACCUAAUCAUUAAACACCUUAAACCUAGUUAAACCUAACUUAAUCUCCCGCAGGUAGUGUUAUUUUGUUUCAUCGUGAGGUGAAAUGAGCUAGGGAGGGUUUAAUCUUCCGAGGAUUUAAGAUAUUCAUUUGUAAUUAUCAUCUUUUCUUUUGUGUAUGGAAAUUUGGCAAUUAUAGAAAAGAAUAAACAUUGAAUAUUUCUGAGACUUGGGUCACUGUUGUAUGUCGGAGAAGAACGCGAUGUUUUUGUGGUAAUAAUCUCAAAGUAUUACGUUGUGUACCUGAUUUGUUUCACUGAUGUGUUAUUUUCAUUAAUAUGUGACUUUGUUCAUAUAGAGUUUUGUGUAAUAUUUGAUUUUACAUAGAGUAGAUUCCAGGUCAAAUGGACCCCACAUGACCUGACCAUUAGGACUCGACCGCAGUCUAAAUGGUUAGGUGACGGAUAAGAUUGUAAUCCAUUUGGCAAUUUGCUCUAUAAAACCCAUUAUGUAUUGUCAGAGUUUUCCCCAAGUUUAUUUUGGUUCAUUCUAAUUUAAAACCGUCGACUCUCCCAGAACUUUUCAUAUAUGUAUAAGGUAAAAGAUGUGAUCAAUCGGCGAUGUACACAGAUGCGUUCUUUGGUAUAUUGGAUAGCAUGUAAGGAGGUUCCAAUACUUAAUGCUUUUGUUUAUUGGAACCUGAAGUGGGGUGUGUCGAGGAUAUUGGUUGUGUCUGUAAAGGUUGUCAACGGUCUAUUACUUGAGCUGAGUUUUUUAAAUUUAUUGUAUGGUAUGUACAGUAUUUUCUUAAGAGAAUGAAGUGUAUUGUCUUAUUUUUAAAUAAUCAAGCUAAGUUCAUAUAAAAUUCAAGAAAAUUAAGCUUACUGUAUCUACUUUUCAAACAAUUAAGCUGAGUUCACUUAAUCCCCAUGCAGAAUUAAGCUUAUUGUAUCUAAUUUUCAAACAAUUAAGCUGAGUUCAAUUAAUCCCUUUGCAGAAUUAUUGUCUCUAAUUUCCAAACAGAAUAAUCUGAUAUGUGUCACAACUUUUCAUAAGCUUUACAUAAAAUAUGUUUUGAGAGAAAGAUUAUUUGUAUAUGAGUAAUUGAGGAAAGCUGGAACCAGGGAGUACGAUUUUUUAAGCUGUCCGUCAAGCUUGUUUGGUGUUUAAUAUCGUCCCUGUUAGUAUUUUUUAUGGAAGAUCCUCAGUGUUAAAGCUUUCCAAUAUUGAUAUAUGUCUGAUAGAAAUUUUUUUUUUUUGAGAAGUUGUUGUUCAUGAAAUUGGGAUGAUCUGUUCUUGGUACUGUAUUGGACUGGACAAAAUUGAGAUGAUGUGUUGUGGGUACUGGACAAAAAUUGAGGUGGUGUAUUCUGGGUAUUGGACAAAACUGCAUAAUGAAAUAGAAAUGGUGUUCCUGAGUGACACUGCAAGAAUUAUAAUACCCCACCAAUAGACUGUUUAGGGUCAUGUAGGACUGUGUUAGUCGUGUCCGUCUGUACAAAAAUUUGUUACCAAUCAUCACCUUGUGGCAGGUUUUGAAGAUAAAGUGAAUGGCUCAUGUGAAGAUUAGCAACCCCAGUUAACAGUACAGGAUUACCAUUGAUUAUACCCUGAUACUAACCUAACCUAUCCUAUCCUAUCCUGUCCUAACCUUAUCUAACCUCAACUUCACAUAUCCUAAACCUAAUCUGUAUAUGAGAUACUCAGAAUGUACAGUACUUUAUGAAUCACUGGUAAGGUAAAUAAUAACUAUUCAGGUACUGGAAUAUAUGUGAGGUGGAUAAUGACGUCCGUAAUAUUCAGAAGAAAAUAUAAGUGACGUAAGAGAUAUUCUGCGAGUCUUUAUUUGUUUAUAUCUGCCCGUCUACUUAUGUGUCUCUCUCUCACCAAGUUGGAAUAUGUCUUUCCUUCCAAUUGGCUGCCAUACAUUUGUGUGUGAACUAAUGGACACCGUGUACAUGUGUGUGUGUGUGUGUGGGGAGGGGGGGUUUGUCCUUCCUCGCCCAAUUCCUGUAAGCUUGAUAUAGUGUUUUAAAUUCAGCUAGGAUUAAACUUGAUAAGAAUGUUUGGAUCACCUGAAUAUUAGACACCCCAGUUAUGUGGGUCUUAUUCCUUUGUGGUACAUACUAUGAAUCAUUUCCCAUCACUUUCCUUCUCAUUUCGUCUCGUUGUUGGGGGAUUGUGGGGCCCCUUGAUCCACGCCACAUGGGAGAGGAGUCUGUUUAUUGGUUGGUAGACUAUGAUAACACAAGACCUUAGAAUGUUGCUGGUAAUUGAUGUAUUUGUGUCAUGAGAUGUUAUGUUUAAGAUGCCAAAUCAAAUUAAGAUUAGCUCCCAGAUUAUUUCACUGGAAGAUAAAUCACCGUAAUGCUAACCUAACGUAACAUACCAGUAAUGAAACCUAAUUCAACUUAACAUAAUUUGACAUAAUAUUUCCCAGUCUACCCCCAGAUAAUAUUAAUGUGUUUAAUCAUCAGGUGAAAUAAUCUGGGUGACUAAUCUUCAUGUGAACCAAAAUACCUGUUGUGCAGUGAGAAUAUAUAUACAGUACCUUGUUGAGCUGUACCAUUCCUUUAAGUAUGUGAUAAACUAAUUGAUAUCAUAAAUUAAUUUGUCUUCUGAUAUAAACUCUUCCUUUUGACAGUCGAGGCAAGAUGCAGUGAGUCUUUUAAGAGUGUGUUGUCUUGCCUUGUAAAUUGUGGCACUGUUGAUUGUGUGUGGUAAUGUAAGACCCCCAGCGUUAACCACACACUACAGCACAGUGAGAUAUGCAGCGGUCACACAGGAGGACGGAUUACCCAUUCUCUGAUUAUUCACCCACCACUCUUGUUGGUUUAGCAUCUUGGUGAAAAAUGAUUAGGAUUUCUUAUAUACUGUCCACCUGGUGUCAGUUGCCAUGUUUGUAUUACUAAGGAAUGACUGUGAGGGUACCUGUGUCAUCUGGCUCCAUGACACCCCUCCUGUGGUGAUCGCUGGAUGUGGUAUUUGUUGGAUAAGAAGCGGAAUUUUUUUUUAGAAUAACUUGUAGUUUUAUCUUCAAUGUAAGAGGCAAAUUAUUUUUUAUGCUGUGGCUUUUAUAUCUGUAGUGGUUAUGUGUGUAAGGUACAGUAGUACAAACUAUUGAUUCAUUGGGUCACCUGUAGAUUAAUCCACACCCUAAUGCUAACCUCACCUCACCUAAUCUCGUCUCACCUAACCUCACCUCGCCUAACCUCGUCUCACCUCACCUAACCCCUUGAGGUAGCAUUAGAGUGUUUAAUCAUCUGGUAAAUUAUGCUGGGGGCUAAACUACAGGUGAUCCAAUUUAUUUUUAAAUUACCAUGAUACAAGCUGAAAGGUUCUCAGUACUUAAGUUGGUUACAUGUCAAGUAGUUCCCAAACCUAACCUAACCCAACCUUUAGCAUAUGGGCCAAUUAGAAUUAAGGGAUAAAGAACUCGCACCCAUUAGUAUUGGGCCUCACUCAUUGGGUUGGGCUGGGACUCAGUAGCUUUAGCCCACUUGACUCGUUACCUGUUGAGAUAUCUUAGACUUAGAGAUAUUAUUAAAGUGGAUUUUCAGUCACUAGUUAAAUUAAUUAUUCAAAUUUGUUAUCAUCUUGGAUCACCCGAUGAUUAAACACCUUAACACUACCUGGAGGGGUUAGCGUCAGGGGUCAUUUGAACAGUGCGUGUCAUAAACUAGGGUACAUAAUCAUCAGGUGACCCAAUAUCUUAUUCCUCUGGGUAAAAGUAUUGUAAAUCCUUCCUUAAUUAAAUCGCAUGAUAAUCUAACUUUAUUCUGGCAUAGUAAAUCAAGACCGGGAUAUACUGCACACAGAGGCUGACUCGCACAUCCUCAUGACAGUUCACUCUGGUUGGUAAGAUAAAUUACAUGACCUAUAGAUUAGUGCCCCCAGAUUAUUUCACCACGAUUAAACACCAUAACACUACCUGGGGGGUUAGGUAGAGUGGUUAAUCGUAAGGUGAAAUAAACUGGAAUGCUUAAUCUUCAAUGACUGAUACAUUAUCAGUUCUUGUAGUGCACAUUUUCUCAACGAUUUUCUUAAAGGAAAUUAUUUUGCUCAAUUAAAUGUUAAUACUGUAUAAGGGUUAACAUUAGACCCCCAGCUUAUUUCACCUUUAGAUUAACGACCCUGAUGCUACCCUAAACUAACUCAAUCACCAGGUAGCGAGCCAAAUGCUGACCUAACCCCUCCUCAGGUAGCAAUAGUGUGGUUAUCAUCAGUGGAAAUAAGUUGUCCAUAUGCGAGUCAUACAGGUGUUUAAUAAUAACAUUCAACAUUUAUAUCAACGCUUUAACAUUGAGACAAAGAUUUAUGAAGGAUAGAAAUUAAUUAAUAGUGUGUAAUGACUUAAUUGGGUAAUAGAGUAUCGUCAUUAUGUUCUUUUGUUAAUAAUUCCAACACCUUGAAGUGGAAUUAUUGUAAACUAUGAUGUGAAAUUAUAUUGACUUUGGAA